CUUGACACAGAAUAACAAUUUGUCAGAACAAGAUGAAUUCUUGCAGGACUAUGCAAAACAAUAUCAAAAAUAUCAAUUAGAAAUGGCAAAGAAAAGAAUGGAACAAUUGCAAUGGGAAAAUAAGACUCCACAUCUUGAAGGUAUUGUAGAUACUGCAUUGAAACCUG